GAAAAUUUAAGUGAUGAUAUAUAAUCACUGAGUGAGUCAGACAUUAUACAUAAUCACUGAAUAUUUCAGGUAUUAUACAUAAUCCCUGGCAUUACACAUUCACUGUAACAUAUAUAUGUCACAGGAAAUAUGUAUAAACAGUAAAUAUGUAUAAUUCCUGAUAAUUUCAGUA